ACUCAGGAUCUCACACCAAAUGGCUUUUAAGCAUUCUUUCUUCGUUGUUCUUGUGCUCCUUGCAUCUAGUGUGGUGCUGGGGCAAGAUGAAGCUGGGGAAGCUACAGAAACCACCAAUGCUGUCAAAACUGCAUCAAGAAAAAUGCUGCCAAUUGGAGGACAGAUUAUAAAAAUGCUUGGCGUUGGAGUUCAUGAUGGUCAGGAAGGGGAAUGUUCACCCGCCGGGAAACCCUGCAGACCAGUGCGCUGUUGUGAUUCCUGUCUGUGCAUCGUCGAUUACCCUACGCAUGUGGGUACCUGUCGUGGUAACUGCUGAAUCAAGCUAAAGCUCCAAGCUAAAAUGCUGCUGGCAUCUAAGGGAACAAUUAGCAAAUUGUUCUCGCCGUUACAUAAAUAAAUGGAAGCAUGGUUCUAGUGUAGUAUGUUAUCUCCAGCUGUUGAAUAAAAUAUUGUAAAUGGAUUUUCAGUCGGAAAUCCAUUUCUUUUGUGUAUGAACUUCCUUUUUAUUAUUUUCUGCAAUUUCCAUUCUUAUGUUUUCUUUUAUCUAUCAAUUUUUAAAGUUUAGGCGUUGGGAUAAAGAUUUAUUUUGUUCAAU